UGAACUCAAAAGCUAUUCGCUCACACCCCGUGGUCACAGAGGUGCGCAAUGGCGCUGCGGCUUUAGCUGAUUCUGGAAUUUCGUCUUUUCUUCUUGAUCCGAACACCGAUUCUCAGCUGUGGAGAUCCAGCAGGAUCAUGGUGCUUGGGCUUGAGGCAGCGGAUCAGCAUAUAGCAUGGUCAGAAAAAGAGGAACCUGUUGAGUAAUUGAGCAUCCAGGAUUUGAUAUGUGUGAGUUUGUAUAAGUAUUUUCUGAUUUUUGUACAGUCAUAGCUGGUUAUUUAAGUUAAAUUUGUAGCAAUGUACCAUAGUGUAAAUAUUGUAUAUAUCUUUUGAUGGUCAAUGAAAAUUCUUUUAUAGAUAAAUUCAUUUUCUGUUUACUAGAAGUUUAUUAGAGGAUCUAUUGUCUGUUUCAAGAUAAUCAAUUUAGUCUCAGGUACAGUGGUAUCAGUUGUAUUCA